AUGAGAGAAAACAUCCCCUUAAGUUAUAUGAGAAACCACUAAAACAUAUUCAGCCUUGGAAUACUCUAAAAAAAAAAAAAAAAAAGUUCUGGGUUACAACAGAGCAGUUUCCAAGCCAAGGCCUGACUAAUACUCUAAUACUUACCUAAUGGAAUAUGCUGUGUUCAUACUAUUUUUACUGAAAAAAAGACAGCUCACUGCUCAAUCCUACCGUCCCUCUGAGCCAAAGAAGAUCUGCUGGAAGAUGGGGAUCCUCAAGUCAUAUACCAAUUUGGCUUUGCCAUUUUCAGGGAACAUAAACUGUCAUGUGAUCUUGAUCUUAACUCUGCAGACUUUGCCACAGUACUUUCCAUGAGAGGGUAAUUCGCCAUUCUUCAUAAAGGCAUCUUGCCUGGGAAGCAUCAGUUCUUCAUUGACUAUGGAAAAACAUUACAGAUGCAACUUGAUCAGGAUCUCAUCUUUUGAAAACUAAAUCACAAUGAGAUCAAUCCCACUUUUGAUGACUUCCUCAAAACCUUUUUUUAAAAAACAAAACAAAACAACUCCUGGUAGAGCUUAGUUUUAUUGUACUCUUUUCUAAGAUAAGGACUUGAAAAGUGCCAAAUGAUAAAAGUUGUGGAACAAUGAUGUUGUGGAAACUAUGGAAGCAUGGCCAUGGACGGAAUGCAAGAUGUAAAAUGAAGCAGUUUCCAAAGCAUUAUGAAUAGAAUUCGUGUCUUCACAAUUUUGCACUGGUAUCGUUAGUUCACCUGUGUGCUAUUGGUACUGUAGAUCAUUGUUCUAACUUCCUGCUAAAUAAUAAGAUAUGUGAUAGGUGCACUUGUAAGUGUAUAUGCUUUGUAUAUGAAAUUCUAUAUAUCUCAGAAGAGGAACAUGCCAUCUUUCAUUAAACAUGUGUGAUCAAGACUUUUAAGCACAAUACAACAAAGUUUUUUUUAAAGUACUGCAAUCAUAUACAUGAAUAUUUAUAUUUAUACAGUACUUAAACAUCUUAAUUUAAUCACAGCUGUUCCAUUUGGUGUGCAGAUGUACUUGCAUUUUAAUCUGCAAAAUGUCAAGUUUGUGGAAACCUUGACUGGUGACUAUAUGAAAAGCAUAUUUCAAGGUUUUAUUUUCCAUUUGCUUAAGAAAUGCUGUGAAAUAUGAUGUGAGACAUGGAAUGUUCCAUGAAAUUGAAUAAGUAAGUGAAAACAUUUGUCCUUUUGAUUGCCUUGAACCAUGUAAAUGCUGUCAGGAUAAAAUGGCUGUAAGGAAAAUGGAACAUAAUUAAACCUGACUUAUUCUAAAUACCCUCCACAUAACUAAAUAUGAGGAAGCUUAAUAUUUAAGAGGAGGCAAUUAGGACAGCAGUCUUUUUGCUUAACAUUUCUCCUUAGUGUUUCUCUGUCAAAGAGUUUGGAUUGUUUAUAUUCAGUGUAGCUUCUGUAUAUAACAUGACAGUAAAUGCUGGCAGUCGCUGGGGCACUGGUAGUUUAAUGUGUCUGUUACUAUGAGAAAAAAGGCCUGCAAUAACUUUGCUGCUCCUCUAAAAUGAGGUCUAGAUCAACAAAUGGUUUUCAUUCAUUUUUUUUGCUUGAGUGUAAGUUGCUAACAGUUCAUAAGUUUGGGAUUUCAUUUAUUGAAUCAUUAUAAACAAAAAGAGAAAUACAUUAACCAAUACAAAAAUUAAUGUAAAUAACAACAAAAACAUUUACACAUUUAAAUGCAAAUUUCCAAUUGAAUUAACUUUUUUUUUUUUUUUUUUUUUUUGGGGAAGAGGAGGGGGAGGGGGGGGGGGGGGGGGGGGGGAGAAAAGAGAGGAGAGGCAGGGCCUGUAGCUUGUGUAGCCUGAUGGGGCAAAAAGCUUUAUACAGUGCCUGGAACCUGCAAGAACCUGCUAUAGAGGCUUUCUUUCUGCUACUGAAGUAAAACUGGAAAUUUGUUUAUCUGUUUUAAGAAAAUACUUUUAUAUCUUCAUGUAAAUUAUGCUGAAGCUGUCAAAAUACUGAAAGUAAAAUUUAUUUAUUUAUUUAUGAUUGGACGGGUUAUUUGAUAGACCAGUAAAUUUGAAAUAAAAUAAAAAUAGAAUUAUCUCA
rnacentral:lncRNA from 1 species